GACGAACGCUGGCGGCGUGCCUAAUACAUGCAAGUCGAGCGGACGGAUGGGAGCUUGCUCCCAGACCGUCAGCGGCGGACGGGUGAGUAACACGUGGGCAACCUGCCUGUAAGACUGGGAUAACUCCGGGAAACCGGGGCUAAUACCGGAUAACUCUUUCCCUCACAUGAGGGAAAGCUGAAAGAUGGCAUCGCGCUAUCACUUACAGAUGGGCCCGCGGCGCAUUAGCUAGUUGGUGAGGUAACGGCUCACCAAGGCGACGAUGCGUAGCCGACCUGAGAGGGUGAUCGGCCACACUGGGACUGAGACACGGCCCAGACUCCUACGGGAGGCAGCAGUAGGGAAUCUUCCGCAAUGGACGAAAGUCUGACGGAGCAACGCCGCGUGAGUGAUGAAGGUUUUCGGAUCGUAAAACUCUGUUGUCAGGGAAGAACAAGUACCGGAGUAACUGCCGGUACCUUGACGGUACCUGACCAGAAAGCCACGGCUAACUACGUG
rnacentral:rRNA from 1 species